ensembl:lncRNA
AUGUCACCGGUCAAGUCCCAGGGUAGAACGAAUGGGGUAAGACAGGGAACAAAGACGAGCAAAAAUGGGAGCCAGAAAAAUCUGGGAAAGAAUGGCUCCAAGGCAUCACAGCCUCUGUCGAAAGUGCAGAAAGGAAAAGGGAAUUCUGCAAAAGAGAAGCGAAAUAAAAAGAGCAUAGUAAGUCAACGUGAAAAAGACAUUACAAGUUGCAAAUCCAACAAAUCUGGGACUGUAACAAAACCGAUUACUACAAAAUCAGUAAAAGUCGACAAGAAGCUUCCAACUAAGUCUGUAAGCAAGAGAAGUGACGAUGAGACAGAAAGUGAGGAGGAGGAGGAGGAAUCAGAAAGUGAUGUAGUGAGCUCCGCAGACGCCACUGAACAGGGAACCAGUGACGACGAGAAGGAGGAACGCCAGGACACUGAUGAAGCGGCAGCUGAGACACAGGAUAGCGAACAGAGCAGCCAGGAGGAGCCUGAGGCAUCAGACACUCAGGGCGAUACAAAACUAACAAAGGAAGAAGCAGAUGAAGAGUCUUUAACUAAAUCUACAAGUGAGUCUGAGGUCGAACCAGCGACAUCGAGUACAGAGGAGGAAGACAACGAGAAGGAAGCUGAAGUACCUGAGAUCAUCCACAGCGACAGGGGUGAAGACAGAGAGCCAAAGCAGGAGGACGCGUCUGAGGAGACGACGGCUCCUAAAGUGUGGCAGCGCAGACCCACUCCGCGUCCCUCCAGGUCGGCACGAAGGCUCAAAUUUAAGAUGUUCAAGAAAUCUAAGGCGGAUGCGCAGACUGAGAAGGAAGAGAAGAAGCGGGUCAAAGCAGAAAAGCAAUGCUUGGAAAAGGAACUUAAACAAAGGGCCAAGGACAAAAAAAGGGGCAAAAAGAACAAUGAAGACAAACCAAGUUCAACUGAGGAGGCUGUGAAUAAAGCUGAGUCAGCAACAGGUAAAGCCCAAAAGACUGACAUGGCAAAAACUAAACGUGUCAGUAAAAAAGCUGCUUCUGAUUCAGAUUCAGAGGAAGAGGAGGAACCAACGCUGACCAAAGCCAUCAAAGGCCAAAAGCAAGUCAUGCUCCUCAAGGGUAAAAACUUUAAAGCCAUCCUGGAGCCUGGGGAGCAGCAGAACAAGGAACGCGAGGAAAAAGAGCAACCAAAGAGUUCACUGUUGGGAAAAGUCAAUGUGAAGUCUAUACAAGACAAAGCAAACAAGAUGAAGUUAGUAAAGCCUGAUGAAGACUCCUCAGUGAGCGACGUCAUUGACCAGGGCUCCAGUAAACCCAAAGAACGUCUGUUGGCGCAAAGGAAAGGGAUGACGACGCUGCGUCGAGUCUCUGGGUGGAUUCAACAGAAGAUGCCAAAGGGGUUAAACUUCAGGAGGAAGCUUUCUGCCUGGGCUAAAGCCAUCGGGGUCUCUCGCUGGCUCUCCCUUCGAGCCAUAAGACAGAAACAAGGCACCAAAAAACACAAGGCCACGAUGCUCAAACACAAGAUGGCCUUGAGAGCUGUCAGUAAAACCAGCCUGGCCAGUAGGAAGAGCAGGGGCGCCUCUGAAAAUACAAGGGCCCAGGAGGAAGCUGGCCCCCAGGGGCAGACGGAGGAGAGCGAGGGAGGGCCGGCCCCGGCUGGAAAGAAAGAGCUAGAGGCCAAAUACGCGGUGGUGCUCCCCAGGAUGAACAGGCUCAAAGCGGACGGGCUAAUGAUGGCAGCUGAGGUGGUCCAGGCGGCGCCUGACCCUUCCACCGCUGAAUCGCCAGGGGAGACCCCCGCUGCGGAGCGCAAACCCCCGAAGCCAGGAGCUAGGCUUGUACUCCCGGUGAAACCAGACCUCAACCUGCUGAGGACCAUCCAAAAGCCCCUGGCAGGAGGGUUAGGGUCGGACAGAGGCACGGCAAAGAGGAUCGCGGACUCUGUUGGUCCAAAAGGCUCAUCCGGCACCGAGGACGAGGACGGAAGAACUGCCCUUAAGGAUAAAAAGGAAGCCGGCGUGCUGCAGGCUGCGAGAGGAAAACUAGAUCCCUCCCAGGUCAACCUGGCUAAGAUCUCCUUAUCAGGUGGAACGUCAGGCGUUGGACCCGCUCGGCCGAAGGGAUCCGACCCAGCGAGAGAGAAAGCGGCUGGACUACUCCGCUCCAACACUCAGCUCUUUCCAAAUGGAGAAGAAAACACAGUGAUGCCGGGGAAUCGCUCUCUGUACGAAGAAGAGGCAGACAGAGAGGUGGCCCAGCUGAUGGGCGAGCGAGGCUUCUACGGUAUCACCCAACCGGGGGUGCACUGGGCCGGGAACCCGCGGAUGAGUGGAGAUCCGCAGGUAGGUGUUUCCAGUUACCUGAAAAUAUCAUAUAUGAGCUGUAAAUGGGUCCCUCCUCCACAGGGAGGAAGCAGAAAGUGUUUCGAUGACUCCUUUAAGCUGAGUUGUCUGUCUUGGUGUGUGUGGACGAGGACUGGCUCCACGCUGAGAACCUGCUGCCCCACCAGACAGUGGAGAAGCUAA